rnacentral:rRNA from 1 species
UACGAAGGGGGCUAGCGUUGCUCGGAAUCACUGGGCGUAAAGGGUGCGUAGGCGGGUCUUUAAGUCAGGGGUGAAAUCCUGGAGCUCAACUCCAGAACUGCCUUUGAUACUGGGAAUCUUGAGUAUGGAAGAGGUGAGUGGAACUGCGAGUGUAGAGGUGAAAUUCGUAGAUAUUCGCAAGAACACCAGUGGCGAAGGCGGCUCACUGGUCCAUAACUGACGCUGAGGCACGAAAGCGUGGGGAGCAAACAGG